rnacentral:rRNA from 1 species
CGUGUAGGCGGUCAGGUAAGUGGAAUGUGAAAUGCCCCGGCUUACCCGGGGACCGGCAUCCCAAACUGCCUGGCUUGAGUAUGGGAGAGGAUGGAGGAAUUCCUGGUGUAGCGGUGAAAUGCGUAGAUAUCAGGAGGAGCACCGGUGGCGAAGGCGUCCAUCUGGCCCAAUACUGACGCUGAGGCGCGAAAGCUAGGGGAGCAAACGG